GUGGGGAAUAUUGGACAAUGGGCGAAAGCCUGAUCCAGCCAUGCCGCGUGUGUGAAGAAGGUCUUCGGAUUGUAAAGCACUUUAAGUUGGGAGGAAGGGCAGUAAGUUAAUACCUUGCUGUUUUGACGUUACCAACAGAAUAAGCACCGGCUAACUUCGUGCCAGCAGCCGCGGUAAUACGAAGGGUGCAAGCGUUAAUCGGAAUUACUGGGCGUAAAGCGCGCGUAGGUGGUUCAGCAAGGUGAAGGUGAAAUCCCCGGGCUCAACCUGGGAACUGCCUCCAAAACUGCAUGACUAGAGUACGGUAGAGGGUAGUGGAAUUUCCUGUGUAGCGGUGAAAUGCGUAGAUAUAGGAAGGAACACCAGUGGCGAAGGCGACUACCUAGACUGAUACUGACACUGAGGUGCGAAAGCGUGGGGAGCAAACAGGAUUAGAUACCCGUGUAGUCC
rnacentral:rRNA from 1 species